UCAAGCUAGUAAGAGCAUAGGGUGGAUGCCUAGGCACCAAGAGCCGAAGAAGGACGUGGUAAGCUGCGAAAAGCUUUGGGGAGGCGCAAACAGCCGAAGAUCCAGAGAUAUCCGAAUGGGGGAACCCGGCUUGGAAGACCCAAGUCACUGUAUAGUGAAUCCAUAGCUAUACAGGGGGAACGCAGGGAACUGAAACAUCUAAGUACCUGCAGGAGGAGAAAGAAAAAUCGAUUUCCUGAGUAGCGGCGAGCGAAACGGAAGGAGCCCAAACCAGUCUGCGAGCAGAUUGGGGUAGAGGACUGCGGAAGGUAGUUCUGGAGAUAGCCGAAGUGUUUUGGAAAAGCACACCGAAGAAGGUGAAAGUCCUGUAGGCGAAAUCGAAGGGACGCCGGCAGGAUCCGGAGUACCACGGGACACGAGGAAUCCUGUGGGAAGCAGGGAGGACCACCUCCCAAGGCUAAAUACUCCUUGGUGACCGAUAGCGCAUAGUACUGUGAAGGAAAGGUGAAAAGAACCCCGGGAGGGGAGUGAAAGAGAACCUGAAACCCUAUGUUUACAAGCAGUGGGAGGCCCAUAAGAGGCCGACCGCGUACUUUUUGUAGAACGGUCCGGCGAGUUACUUAUGCCAGCGAGGUUAAGCACUGAAGGUGUGGAGCCGAAGGGAAACCGAGUCUUAAACGGGCGAUAUAGUUGGUAUAAGUAGACCCGAAACCGGGUGAUCUACCCAUGGUCAGGAUGAAGUCAUCGUAAAAGGUGAUGGAGGUCCGAACCCGGACGUGUUGAAAAACGUUGGGAUGAACUGUGGGUAGGGGUGAAAUUCCAAUCGAACCCGGAGAUAGCUGGUUCUCCGCGAAAUAGCUUUAGGGCUAGCCUUUAUGAUACCUGACGGAGGUAAAGCACUGAUUUGCCUAGGGGGCCAACAAGCUUACCGAAGCAUCUCAAACUCAGAAUGCCGUACAGGAGGACAUAAGGAGUCAGACUAUGGGAGAUAAGUUUCAUAGUCGAGAGGGAAAGAGCCCAGACCAUCAGCUAAGGUCCCGAAGUGUGUGUUAAGUGGGAAAGGAUGUAUUAUUUCGAAGACAACUAGGAUGUUGGCUUAGAAGCAGCCAUACAUUUAAAGAGUGCGUAAUAGCUCACUAGUCGAGAGGUAAUGCGCCGAAAAUUACCGGGGCUAAAACACACCACCGAAGCUAUGGAAGUUACUUAAGGUAACUUGGUAGCGGAGCGUUCUCUUGGUGCAGAAGCUGUACCGAAAGGAGCAGUGGAGCUAAGGGAAGUGAGAAUGCCGGAAUGAGUAGCGAGAAAGAAGUGAGAAUCUUCUUGGCCGAAUAUCCAAGGUUUCCAGAGUAAAGCUGCUCUGCUCUGGGUAAGUCGGGGCCUAAGGUGAGGGCGAAAGCCGUAGCCGAUGGGGAACAGGUAGAAAUUCCUGUACUACUGAUAAACAGAACUGUAGUGACGCAGGAGGGUAGGCAGACCGGGGAAUGGAGAGACCCGGUUAAGCACAAAGCCUAGGCUGGCAGGCAAAACCGUCAGUUGGUGGUGAAGUGUGACGAGGACCGAAAAACAAGUAGGGAAGCUGCUGAACCCACACUGCCGAGAAAAGCUGCUAUAGAUUUAUCAGUACCCGUACCGUAAACCGACACAGGUGGAUGAGGAGAGAAUCCUAAGGCCGACGGGAGAAGCGUUGUUAAGGAACUCGGCAAAAAGACCCCGUAACUUCGGGAGAAGGGGUGCCUGUAGAGAUACAGGCCGCAGAGAAUAGGCCCAAACGACUGUUUAGCAAAAACACAGGUCUCUGCUAAACCGAAAGGUGAAGUAUAGGGGCUGACGCCUGCCCGGUGCUGGAAGGUUAAGGGGACGUGUCAGACUUAGGUCGAAGCACAGAACUUAAGCCCCAGUAAACGGCGGCCGUAACUAUAACGGUCCUAAGGUAGCGAAAUUCCUUGUCGGGUAAGUUCCG
rnacentral:rRNA from 1 species